rnacentral:rRNA from 1 species
GGGGCAUGCGCGCUACACAUGCAGUCGAGCGGUAACAGAGAGAAGCUUGCUUCUCUGCUGACGAGCGGCGGACGGGUGAGUAAUACUUGGGAAUUUGCCUUUAGGCGGGGGACAACCACGGGAAACUGUGGCUAAUACCGCAUAAUGUCUACGGACCAAAGUGGGGGACCUUCGGGCCUCACACCUAAAGAUGAGCCCAAGCGGGAUUAGCUAGUUGGUGGGGUAAAGGCUCACCAAGGCGACGAUCCCUAGCUGUUCUGAGAGGAUGAUCAGCCACACUGGGACUGAGACACGGCCCAGACUCCUACGGGAGGCAGCAGUGGGGAAUAUUGCACAAUGGGGGAAACCCUGAUGCAGCCAUGCCGCGUGUGUGAAGAAGGCCUUCGGGUUGUAAAGCACUUUCAGCGACGAGGAAGGGUGUUGUAUUAAUAGUGCAGCACAUUGACGUUAGUCGCAGAAGAAGCACCGGCUAACUCCGUGCCAGCAGCCGCGGUAAUACGGAGGGUGCAAGCGUUAAUCGGAAUUACUGGGCGUAAAGCGUACGUAGGCGGCGUGUUAAGCAAGAUGUGAAAGCCCCGGGCUCAACCUGGGAAUUGCAUUUUGAACUGGCAUGCUAGAGUCCUGAAGAGGGUGGUAGAAUUUCCAGUGUAGCGGUGAAAUGCGUAGAUAUUGGAAGGAAUACCGGUGGCGAAGGCGGCCACCUGGUCAGAGACUGACGCUGAGGUACGAAAGCGUGGGGAGCAAACAGGAUUAGAUACCCUGGUAGUCCACGCCGUAAACGAUGUCAACUAGUUGUUCGUGUCAUUAAGACGUGAGUAACGCAGCUAACGCACUAAGUUGACCGCCUGGGGGAGUACGGCCGCAAGGUUAAAACUCAAAUGAAUUGACGGGGGCCCGCACAAGCGGUGGAGCAUGUGGUUUAAUUCGAUGCAACGCGAAGAACCUUACCAUCCCUUGACAUCCAGUGAAUUUUUCAGAGAUGAAUUAGUGCCUUCGGGAACACUGAGACAGGUGCUGCAUGGCUGUCGUCAGCUCCUGUUGUGAAAAGUUUGGGUUAAGUCCCCCAACCAGCGCAACCCUUAUCCUUAUUUGCCACACGUAAUGGUGGGAACCUUGGGGAAAAUGCCGGUGAUAAACCGGAGGAAAGGGGGGGGACAACUUCAAGUCUCCUUGGCCCUUCCGGGAGGGGGUCCCCCCUGGUUAAAAGGGGGCAACAAAGGGGGCAACCACCCCAGGGUAGCGAAACCAAAAAAGGGCCGGGUCCCGGCGGGAAGUGGCACUCGACCCUUCGAAUCGGAAACCCCU